AACUGAAGAGUUUGAUCAUGGCUCAGAUUGAACGCUGGCGGCAGGCUUAACACAUGCAAGUCGAGCGGAGAGAGGUAGCUUGCUACUGAUCUUAGCGGCGGACGGGUGAGUAAUGCUUAGGAAUCUGCCUAUUAGUGGGGGACAACAUUUCGAAAGGAAUGCUAAUACCGCAUACGUCCUACGGGAGAAAGCAGGGGAUCUUCGGACCUUGCGCUAAUAGAUGAGCCUAAGUCGGAUUAGCUAGUUGGUGGGGUAAAGGCCUACCAAGGCGACGAUCUGUAGCGGGUCUGAGAGGAUGAUCCGCCACACUGGGACUGAGACACGGCCCAGACUCCUACGGGAGGCAGCAGUGGGGAAUAUUGGACAAUGGGCGCAAGCCUGAUCCAGCCAUGCCGCGUGUGUGAAGAAGGCCUUAUGGUUGUAAAGCACUUUAAGCGAGGAGGAGGCUACUUUAGUUAAUACCUAGAGAUAGUGGACGUUACUCGCAGAAUAAGCACCGGCUAACUCUGUGCCAGCAGCCGCGGUAAUACAGAGGGUGCAAGCGUUAAUCGGAUUUACUGGGCGUAAAGCGCGCGUAGGCGGCUAAUUAAGUCAAAUGUGAAAUCCCCGAGCUUAACUUGGGAAUUGCAUUCGAUACUGGUUAGCUAGAGUGUGGGAGAGGAUGGUAGAAUUCCAGGUGUAGCGGUGAAAUGCGUAGAGAUCUGGAGGAAUACCGAUGGCGAAGGCAGCCAUCUGGCCUAACACUGACGCUGAGGUGCGAAAGCAUGGGGAGCAAACAGGAUUAGAUACCCUGGUAGUCCAUGCCGUAAACGAUGUCUACUAGCCGUUGGGGCCUUUGAGGCUUUAGUGGCGCAGCUAACGCGAUAAGUAGACCGCCUGGGGAGUACGGUCGCAAGACUAAAACUCAAAUGAAUUGACGGGGGCCCGCACAAGCGGUGGAGCAUGUGGUUUAAUUCGAUGCAACGCGAAGAACCUUACCUGGCCUUGACAUAGUAAGAACUUUCCAGAGAUGGAUUGGUGCCUUCGGGAACUUACAUACAGGUGCUGCAUGGCUGUCGUCAGCUCGUGUCGUGAGAUGUUGGGUUAAGUCCCGCAACGAGCGCAACCCUUUUCCUUAUUUGCCAGCGAGUAAUGUCGGGAACUUUAAGGAUACUGCCAGUGACAAACUGGAGGAAGGCGGGGACGACGUCAAGUCAUCAUGGCCC
rnacentral:rRNA from 1 species